rnacentral:lncRNA from 1 species
UUGGUGGCUACAGUUUUGAACAACACCGUGCUAGAUAAUGAGAAGCUAUUAGGAUCUCCCACUUUGUCUCCCUAAAUGCACUCCUAUGGAACUGACAUGCUUAAAUAUUUGGGGAGAAGGUUAUCCCCUUAAACAAAAAUAUCUGCAUAAUUGGAUUAUGGCAAGAACCAUAUGAGAUAAUUUUUGAAAAGCGCCGAAUUCAGUUGGCGAGUACACCAUAGAUGAUCAAUACAUGCAGCUUUUCUAUCUCCUUUGCAUCUGCUUGAGUUUAGGCAGAAUAAAAAGGCUGUUUAUGGAAGAAACUGCAAGCUUGCCAAAUGAGUCAAAACUCAUAAUGUUUCCUAUUAUAGCAAUCACUAGGAGCGGAACCUAAAGAAAAAGCACAGCAGAAACU